rnacentral:pre_miRNA from 1 species
UGGACCUAUUUAUAGGCCGGCCAUGACAGAGCUCCGGCAGAGAUAUUUUUCUCCGCCGAGCUUAUCUGUGGCGCUAGUUCACUGCCAUCUGGCCGAGGUGGUCUGGCAUA